GGGGCGGGCCGGAUGCGCCGUCCUGAGGCGGGCAGCAGCGCUCCGAGGCGGUUCCUGAAGAGAAAAGGGCGGCCUGAGGGGCGGAGGCGACCAUGGCGGAGGCGGAGAGGGCCGCAGGGAGCCCCCCCGGCGCCGUGCAGGUGAACGGCUCGGCUGGGGGGAACCUUAAAGACCAUCCAGUUCCACCCCGUGCUGUGUGCUGCCUGCGGCCCAUCCGUGCCAGGGAUGGGGCACCACAGCUGUGGGCAGUGCCGGGGCCUCACCGCCUCUGGUCAGUCAUUGUACCUGUUCACAACAGCGAAUGUUGGCUAGAUGAGUGCUUAAAGUCAGUUUGGGAACAGGAUUUUAAACAAACCAUGGAGCUGUCAAUUUUUAAUGAUGCCAGUAAGGAUGGUUCAGCUGAAAUCAUUGCAAAAUGGAAGGUUAAGUUGGAAGAUGCUGGUGUUCCAGUAGUUGUUGGUAGUAAUGAUUCAGCUCAGCCUCGAGGAGUUGGAUUUGCUAAAAACCAAGCAAUAAUACAGAGCUCAGGAACCUAUCUCUGCUUUCUGGAUUCAGAUGAUGUGAUGAUGCCACAGCGGGUUAGACUGCAGCAUGAAGCUGCCAUUCAACACCCAAACAGUAUUAUUGGUUGCCAAGUCAGAAGAGAGCCACCAGAGUCUACUGCACGGUAUACACGUUGGAUCAAUAAUCUGACUGAAGAACAACUUCUUACACAGGUGUUUACCUCCCAUGGGCCUACUGUCAUCAUGCCAACCUGGUUCUGUUCUCGAGAAUGGUUUUAUCACGUAGGAAAAUUUGAUGAGGGUGGAAAGGGUGUUCCAGAAGAUUUGUUGUUUUUUUAUAAACAUCUCCAAAAGGGUGGUGGAGUCCUUCGAGUGAACCGUUGCCUUCUGCUGUACCGUUACCAUCCACAGGCUGCAACUCAUUCUGUCCAUGAGGAAACCAUCUGGAAUCACCGAGUCAAGUUUCUUGAGGACAGAGUCCUGAGCACCUGGACGUCAUUCACCAUUUGGAAUGCUGGCAAGCAAGGCAAGAAGCUCUACAGAAGUUUGUCACCAGCUAAUCGGAAAAAGGUAACUGCAUUUUGUGAUGUUGAUGAAAAGAAAAUAGCAAAAGGAUUCUACACUUUUGAAGAAUCUGAGAUCCUGCGCUUAUGUCUUCAACACAGCCAUUCUCCCACAUCAUUCAUAAAUAAGAUUAUACUGCAAGCUGUUAUGAAUCCUUAGAAAAUUCUGCAGCUUGGAUCCAUGUUGAAGUCUCAGUUGGGCAUAAGCCAUUUAACAGCUAACUGAAGGGGAAGGAUUCUGCUUCUGUAUUUGCUGCUUGCCUUGUGCCUGCUUUGAUACUUCUCUGAUGGCAUGUUAAGCUGAUUCAGCUCACUAAAGGGGAGAGACCAAAACCAAAAAUUCCUAUAUGUCACUUCAGAGAAGCAACUCCACCUUUCAUUAUCUGUGUGAAGCAGGAGAAGGUCAUGAAGCCAACAUCCAUUCAGAUGGGCUGACACUCUACAGACUGCAGGCAGGUUAUGUCCUUGCCCAUCUCACUCUGUGACUGAGAUACACAGAUACUACUGAAGUUGGUGCUAUAAGACCUGAUGGCAAAAACGCCCCAGUGCAGAGGUAAAUAAAAAUCAGUAUGCGGGGAGUUGCAGCAGCACUGUACCCUGAAGACAUGAGAGUGGCCAAGGGGGCAAGAAAAUGAUGAGAAUAAACUUGCAUAAUAACAUAGUGGAAGCCCUCAACAGAGCUUGCCUUUGUGUAAAGUUUAAAUGUGCCUGUUGACUAUACGCACCUCUCAGUACCCCUAUGUCAUUGUGCUAUAUUAUUGUUGUAAUAUUAUGAAGAUAAGGAAUCAGGUUAGAAGGACAAAGACGUUUAUAAUGAAGAGCUGAAACCGAGUAUUUGUCAGCAGUGCUGGAUAUGCUGUUAUUACCUGAGAGACCUCAGACACCAUCAGACAGACAUAACAAAACACAGAUAUCUGUACCGAGGUGUAGAAAGUGUAAAAGCUGGGAGAGGAAAGGACGGGGAGGGCCUCAUCCAGCAGGCCGCGCUGCUCUGAGGAGCGCUCCCAAACCAGGUCUGCUGGACCCUCCUUUCUGCUGCCACUGGGUUCUGCAGCUGAUCUCCAGAAAGAGCUUUACAACCUCUCUUUCAGCCAUUGUCAUACUUGCUGGAUUUAAUUACUGUUAUGAGUCUCCGUGGAGGCAGUUGGAAUCUACAAAAUCCCAUUCUUAGUACUUGCAAGGUUGUGCCGGGAUUUGAAAUGGCCACGCUUUUCAGUAGUAGUUUUGUCAUGGAAAGUAGUCUUCUACCAAAACAAAACAAGCUGAUAAAUGUCUGUGGUUUAAAAUAUUCAGGUAUCCUGUCUGCAGCAGCUUUCAAACUUCUGGGUCUGACCGCUAAAGGAAAUGGUUUCUAAAUGGGCUGAGAAGAGCAGAGUAUUGAACUUUCAUUCAUCUGCGUUGCUAUUGUGCAGGCCACAAAAUGCCGCGGGUUGGCCUUUGCUGUAUUUAUAGACUGAAUUCGCCUUGCUUUCUGUGCAGCCCACAUCUGAAGUAACAGCUAGAAGCAAACCUUCCCAGCUGCUUUUCUUUAUUCACCUCUCUCCGUUUCCCCUUCCAGUGUGUUUUUCAAACGAAAAAGUAUGGCAGGAUACGUACGCAGAUAAAUAUUGAGACUGCAUCAAAUGAAAAAUGCUCUAAACUUUGAUAGCUAUUUCUGCCCCUCUGAUUCUAUUCUCUCACAUAUAUCACACAGUGUUGAUGUUAGGAGUUAAGUCCCAAGCUGAUGUGGAAGACAUGACCACAGCCAAAAGGUAAAGCUCCUCUGCAAAAAGGGACAAACAAAAUCCAUGUGUUGGAGAGGUUACAAGUGUCUGUAUUCACAAACUGUUUAGGGCAAGUAGGUUUGCCCAGCUCUGUGUUUCAGCUCAUGCUGCUAACAUACAAAAACCCCAGUGAGUGUGGGGCUGUUUCUUGUGCAGACAAACAAAUGUGUGGAUGCAGCACAUGCAGCUUAGCUGGAGUCCCCUACUGGAACUGCUUCUGUGUUGUGUGGAGCUGUUGGAAGUUGACAUAAGGCAGAGCUCUCUGCUGAGACCUUCAGUGAUUUGCUUAACCAGAGGUCAUUAACAAGUUUGUAAACAUCCCAGGCUUCUGAAUUUGUUGUUUACAAAUAUAGAUUAAUCAGCAUCCCUCUGAAGAAGUGUUCUGGGGCCUUACAGCUUUUUGUUUUGCAUUUCAUGGUUGAGAAUUAUUUUUAGGAAUGAUACAGGCAAAACCUGCAUGUUUAUAAGCAGCUCUAAGAGGGUAAUUCUGAAGAUGAGAUAUGUUUAUUAAGUGGGUCGUCUGCAGGCAUUGACCCUGAUGGCUGCACUUCAAGCACUGUUUGCUUAUUUAUUUCCUCUGGUGGUUCCUCCUUAGCACAGCAUUACUCUGUUGCCAUGUAAAACCAUUUCUGAAAAGCAGUCAUACUAUUUGAUUGUUGUUGGGUUGGCUUUUAAAAUGGCUUCACAAAGGGCUGUAGCUGAAAUCCAGUGCUCUGGGUGUGUGUGUGUGCAUGUUUCAGAGCUUUUACCCAGGAGCAUAAAAUCAUGGCUUUAGCUCAUCAAAGUUGUGUAGCAGCCUGCAGUACCACUUCACCUAAGGGUCUGCACUGUGUAUUUUCUCUUGCUUUGAGGUAAAAGCAAAAUGCUUAGAAAUCACUUAUUGUACCCUGUUUUGGCAUGGCUUCCAAGUGCUUGAAAUGAAAGGGAUUUUCUACUAUUCUGCCUCAGUAAUUAAACUAGUUCAAUUGUGUAAAGUUUUCAGUAAAUUUACUGUUAGACCAGUUAUUGUAAAGCACUGCCUUGUUCUGUCACCUCAGUCUUGUGGGCUGGGAAUGAAAGGUUUGUUUUUAACUCUUCUGCUCAAUUUAGCAUCUGGGCUCUUCUUUUAUUUUCAUUUUUAACCCUUCUUCAGAGCAGGUUGAUUUUUUUUUUUUUUUUUUUUCAGCAAGCCACACAGAACCGUUUCAUACCCCAUGUCCAAAUUUGGGUAACCUUGGGUUUAUGAAAUCAUUAGAGGACACUAAAGGUCAUGAUCAAGAUCUGCAUUUCUAAGUAGAAUUCUCUGUUGAUGUGGGUGCUGAGUUUUGCACUUGGACCAGUGGCAGCCUGGGAUCCAAACUGAAUUGCAAAACCAGGACCCAGUCCUUCACAGUAGUACUCCAUGCUGUCAAGUAUUCUUAAUAUAGAGAGGUAAAAAAAAAAAACCACCCAUACUCAACAUCUUUCUUGCUCAGGCCCUUAUCGCUCAGCUCAGCCAUUGGUCACCUAGGUGAAGUGGAGCUCUUGCUUUAAAAAUGUGCUGCCAUGAGACCUUUUUUGCCCUUCUCCAAGUUGUUUAUUAGCUGUUAUCAUUGUUCUUUUUAAUUGUUUGUAAACAUCAGUGCUCAGGUAAUUUUAUGAUUGUGCUGGGUAUUUUUCUGUUGCAGUUCUGGAUCAGAUAAUGUUGUCUUUGUGUACUUUGGCGUUGCCAGUGAAAACUGAGAAAAGCUGCAGGUAGAAGAUAAUGGCAUAGGAGAGACGGUAGGGAAUCUUUGAGCCUGGGCACAGCAUGCUGGUUUCAGCCAACGUUUGAAAUAGGCAGUGUUUCCUGUAUAAGUUUAAGGAGCUGUUUGGAGGGGACAGGUCAGGUUGUUUUGUAGUUGGGCAGACUGUUGGUUGGGAUGGCCUUGUUCCUUGAAUGGAAGGCUUCCAGGAAACACCCGUAUGCUAUGUGAGCAUUUCUAUGAGCACUUCAGUGGAUGGGUCCAAGGUGAGCUGGAAGCUGAAUGCGGUCAGGCUUCUGUGUAAGCCAGACAACUUUAUUUCUGAACUCAGAUUUACAGAAGGUCCCAGAGCAAUUCUACUGAAGCCAAUAGUUCUAGCCAAAGUCCAGCAUUCCUCCUCCAGUUCCAGUUCUGUCUGGGCUCUAGUUUUGUAACCUCCUGUCCAAAACACCUGCAGGGUGUUGUGCAACUCCAAUAUCGCUACUCUGGACCAUCCAAAAAAACAUGACAUUUUCUGUACUGUUGUAAGGUUGAAUUCAUUUCUGUGAUGUUCCUGAAGUAGAACUCAGUGAGGCCAACACAGAAGUGUCAAAAACACUGAUGUUGGCAUGUUUUCUUUUAAUGACAUCACACCUGUGUUAGGAUCUGUAUUGCUGCCUUGAAAAAUGACUCAUGGAGCAAACCUACCGGGUUCCUGCUCAGUUAACGUAAUGACAGCUUAAAAGGAAACACCUUUACCUAAGCAAAGUAUUUCAGUUGCUUGAUGAAAGGUUUGUUUCAUCAGCCAAGUUAAUCAUUGUUCAAAAUCUACAAAGUCACUGCUGUAUCAAACUCAAUCCCUUGGUUUGUUCUCUGCAAAUGCCUACAUUGGAAAACAGAAUACCCAGAGUUGCAGAUAUUUAUCUUCAGAGCUCUCAGUGUAGUCCUUGCAUUCCACUUCAGUGCAUUAGAAGGAGUUGUCUAACAUCCACCCACAACCCCAAAGAUACUAACUUGAAUGCUAAUUUCUCAACAUAUGCUUAAUUUUUGAAGAAAUACGUUUCUAAGCCUUGCUUUAUAUAUGUUUAACUCUGCAAAUGGGACUUCUGUGGUCUAAAGAACCCAAUUAGCAAAACCUGUUACAACCUGAAGUAACUUCUGUCUGGUUUUUGUGGGGUCCCCCCCCAUAGGAUUUGACAGGAGGAGCAUUUGAAACCAACUUGAGCAUGCUGAACUUGAAAGAAGGGAGGGAUUAUUAUCACUUCAACUAAAGACAAAGUCAAUACGGAAUAGUCUGAAUCCCUACCAGUUUCUUGAAGAUUCCCCUCUGUAUUCUUCGAGGAAAAAGAUGAAACUUCAGUUCCUAAAGCUAGUUUGCUACAGCAUUUGCUUGAAUAACACUUUGGUGUUAGCUGAAGUGCAACUUAGAUUUUUUUGUUUGAAUAUGAUGUAAGAAUGGCUUACUUACCUGCACAUAUAAUGGAACUCUCCUAAAGAUGAAGUACCAGUAAGUAUAGCCAUUCUUACCUGCAGCAAAACAGUUUAUAUAAGAAUAAUGCAGUAAGUCAGGUUUAAUAUUUAAUGUGUAAACAGCAAGCACAGGUUGAACGAUUCCAUUCAGAAUUGGAGAAGUGUAAAUCAUUGACAUGGGGAAAAAAAAACAACUGAAACCCAACAGGUCAGUUGUGACAGAGCUAUGAAGCUAUGAAGACAAACUGCCAUCUUGUGGCUACAGAAAAUGAAUUAAGAAAAAGACAACAUAAUGAAGUGGUGUUGCCCUCACAGGGUAGGCAUAUCUGCAUGAUGCUGUAGGACAACUUCUGCCUCUCAUUUUGUUCACCAGUGUACUUCGCAGCAAUGCUGAGAAUCCAAUGUGUUGAGAUGCCACAGCAGCACCUGAACCAACAGCUUCAAUGUACAAAGCAGAAGCCAGCACUGCAACUUCACUUUGCUGAACUCUGCAAGAGAGAAAGAGAAAAGAGGUGGAGUAGCACAUAUCAUAAUUUGACCAACAGCACAGUUGUGUAUGUAAUUAAGUGAGCUAAAUAGAAGAAAAUGUAGACAUGUAAAGUUGAAUUUUUUACUUAAAAUUUUAUUUAUUUCAAUAAAAUUAAUUCAUCUUUUCAUACCAUUA